rnacentral:rRNA from 1 species
CCUACGUGUGGCAGCAGUGAGGAAUAUUGGUCAAUGGGCGCGAGCCUGAACCAGCCAAGUAGCGUGAAGGAUGACUGCCCUACGGGUUGUAAACUUCUUUUAUAAAGGAAUAAAGUGAGGCACGUGUGCCUUUUUGUAUGUACUUUAUGAAUAAGGAUCGGCUAACUCCGUGCCAGCAGCCGCGGUAAUCCGGAGGAUCCGAGCGUUAUCCGGAUUUAUUGGGUUUAAAGGGAGCGUAGAUGGGUUGUUAAGUCAGUUGUGAAAGUUUGCUGCUCAACCGUAAAAUUGCAAUUGAUACUGGCAGUCUUGAGUACAGUUGAGGUAGGCGGAAUUCGUGGUGUAGCGGUGAAAUGCGUAGAUAUCACGAAGAACUCCGAUUGCGAAGGCAGCUUACUAAACUGCCACUGACAUUGAUGCUCGAAAGUGUGGGUAUCAAACAGGAUUAGAUACCCCAGUAGUC